rnacentral:rRNA from 1 species
GACGAACGCUGGCGGCGUGCUUAACACAUGCAAGUCGAACGGAAAGGCCUUGCUGUUGUGCGGUGCUCGAGUGGCGAACUGGUGAGUAAGUCGUGAGUAACCUGCCCUUGACUUUGGGAUAACUUCAGGAGACUGUGGCUAAUACCGAAUAUGAGCUCCUGCUGCAUGGUGGGGGUUGGAAAGUUUCGGCGGUUGGGGAUGGACUCGCGGCUUAUCAGCUUGUUGGUGGGGUAGUGGCUUACCAAGGCUUUAGCGGGACGGCGCCUGGGGGGGGGCACCGGCCACAUUGGGACUGAGAUACGGCCCAGACUCCUACGGGAGGCAGCAGUGGGGAAGAUUGAACAAUGGGCGGAGGCCUGAUGCAGCAACGCCGCGUGGGGGAUGACGGCCUUCGGGUGGUAAACCGCUUCCGCCUGUGAGGAAGCGUGAGUGACGGUAACGGCUAAAGAAGCACCGGCUAACUACGUG